rnacentral:rRNA from 1 species
AAGGGCACCACAAGAACGCGUGGAGCAUGUGGCUUAAUUUGACUCAACGCGGGGAAUCUUACUGGGUCCGGACAUACUGAGGAUUGACAGGAGUCAGUGUGCUUUUUUUUUAUUAUUUUUUUUAUUUAAAAAGUAAUAAAAAAAACACAAAAGCAUACUACAAAUAUGCUAGUCCUUUCAUGAUUGUGUGAUAGGUGGUGCAUGGCCGUUCUUAGUUCGUGAAGUGAUUUGUCUGUUUAAUUACGUUUCCGUAAAAAAGUCUGUAUACUUGUUAAUAGUAAAAAAAUUUUUUUUUUUAAAUAAUUAUUUUACUUAUUUACUUAUGUAUCAAAGGCUUUGGAAGGCAACGAACGUGACC